rnacentral:rRNA from 1 species
GACGAACGCUGGCGGCGUGCUUAACACAUGCAAGUCGAACGGAAAGGCCCUGCUUGCGGGGUGCUCGAGUGGCGAACGGGUGAGUAACACGCGGGUGAACUGCCCCUUACUUUGGGAUAAGCCUGGUAGACUGGGUGUAAUACAGGCUAGAACCUUGCUUGAGGCGGUGUGGUGGAAAGAGAAGUUUCGUUUGGGGAUGAGCUCGCGGCGGAUCAGCGUUUUGUUGGGGUAUUGGCCUACCAAGGCGUCGACGGGUAGCCGGCCGGAGAGGGUGGUCGGCCACAUUGGGACUGCGACGCGAGGCAGCAGCCUACGGGAGGCAGCAGUGGGGGAUAUUGUACCAUGGGCGCAAGCCUGAUGUAGCGACGCCGCGUGGGGGGUGACGGCCUUCGGGUUGUAAGCAACUUUCGGCCAUGACGAAGCGCUUGUGGUGACGGUAGUGGUAGAAGAAGCACCGGCUAACUACGUG